UACGGAGGGUGCAAACGUUGCUCGGAAUCAUUGGGCGUAAAGCGCACGUAGGCGGACCGCUAAGUCGGAUGUGAAAGCCCUCGGCUUAACCGAGGAAGUGCAUUCGAAACUGACGGUCUUGAGUAUGGAAGAGGGUCGCGGAAUUCCCGGUGUAGAGGUGAAAUUCGUAGAUAUCGGGAAGAACACCCGUGGCGAAGGCGGCUCUCUGGGACGGUACUGACGCUGAGACGCGAAAGCGUGGGGAGCGAACAGG
rnacentral:rRNA from 1 species